CCACCUCCGCCGCCUUGGGAAGGCGGCUGGGAUUAGAAGGACAUCGAUUUUACCGUCUCCCCCAUCGGAGUCCCGGAGGCUGCGCUGCGGUGUGGCAAGUUCAUGGAGGAGCAGGUGCUUCAGUCGCAGGGGAUGACACACUUCCAUGGCCCCCCAUGCCAGAAGAGUUUGUAGUCUCCUCUCAUCACCUUGAAGAGUACUGGUCAAUUAUUUUGUAGAAUGUCCUUCAAAUUGGGUUUGUCUGCUGUUUUCUCCUGAUUCAGCUUAGGGAAAACCACCACAGAUGAUGUGCCACUCACACAGCACCACAUCACAGGUUGUAAUCCAUUACUGCUGUUGUCUAUCCUGUGGCUCGAACUGCUCCAGCUUUGGCCAAUGCAGCACUUUUUGACGGACAUCUACCCUUCUGAUAUCUGACAGGCUGCCAUCACUCACCUUUCGUUUGCCCUACCCCAACCCUGGAACCAACCCCUUCCCUGAGGAGCCCUUAGGAUCCACCAUCUCAGGCUGGCUCUGGUCACUGAUGCAGGUGUCACUGCUCUAAGGCCCUCUGUCGACAGACUUAGAAAACAGAUGUGUUACACUAACUCACACAUGCAUAGACCCACAUUUCUCUCUCUCUGAAAAAACCAACAGCCCUAGUUCAUGCUGACACCUCCAACCCUGAUCCAGAACCACAGGAUAACUCUAGCACCAUCCUUCCUUAUUUGUAACUUCUUCCUAGAAUACGUACAGUUUUGAGAUUGCUAACCCAUGCCCCUAUGAGAAACAAGUGCACUAACCAGAGGUUUUAUCUUUAGCCUUACAGCAUCCUGUCAAAACACUGUUUUCCAAAGUUACUGAUAGGUCAGCUAAUUCUACAUCCAUUUCACUAUGGUUAUGGCAGCAUUCCCUAACCGUUUUGGCACCAAGGACCAAUUUCUUAGAAGACAGUUUUUCCACAGACUGGGGCGAGGAGGGGGGAUGGUUUCAGGAUGAAACUGUGCCACCUCAGAUCAUCACUCUAACAUCAUAGUUAGAGUCUCAAAAGGAGUGAGUGAGCAACCUAGAUCAUUCACAUGCACAGUUCACAACAGGGUUCAUGCUCCUAUGAGAAUCUAAUGCUGCUGCUGACCUGACAGGAGGCAGAGCUCAGGCAGUAAUGCUUGCCUGCCCUCUGCUCACCUCCUGCUCUGUGGCCCAGGUCCUAACAGGCUACGGACAGGUACCGAUCCGUGGCCUAGGGGUUGGGGACCCCGGAUUAUGGGAUAAGUUUGUAAUACCAUUUGAUUCAUCUGUCACAGUUUGUAUCACUUGGGCACUCCCCCCAGUAACACACACACAAACAUCUUUGUUGAUUUUAGUGAAAUUUUGUGGUGCACAGUUCCAUGGGUUUUGACAGGUGCACAGUCAAAUCUAACACAGUCCCAUCACUCCCCAAACUGCCUCUCACUCUCUUUGUAAUCAACUCCUUUUCCCCAACUCUUAACCCCUGGCAACCACUGAUUUGUUCUUCUUCCUUAUGGUUGUGCUUUUUCUAGAGCAUCCUUUAAAUAGAAUCAUACAAUAUGGAGGCCUUUUAGGUUUGGUUUCUUUCACUAAACAAAAUGAAUUUAAGAUUCAUCCAUGUUGUGGGAAUUAAUAGUUUGUUCCUUUUGACUUUUGAGUGGUAUUCUGCUGUAGAGAUGUUACCACAAUUUGUUUAUUCAUUCACCAGUUGAAGGAUAUCUGAUUUUGAGUGUUGGCAAUUACUGAAUAAAACUCUAUUAACAGUCACAUGCAGGUUUUGUGUGAGCAUGAAUUUUCACUUACCUUGGGUAAGCACCUAGGAGUGAGACUGCCAGGUCCUAAGGCAGUGUAACACAGUAAGAAGCUGCCACACUGUUUUCCAGAGUGGCUGUGCCAUUCUGCAUUCCCAGUAGCAGGGUUGGAGAGCAUAUUCCUGCCAGCACUUGGCACUGUCCUUGCCAGCACUGGGAUGCUUCGUGAUUGUUCUUUCAUCUUAGCUACUGAUGUAGGCCUGUGCUGGUACCUUAUGAAGAAGGUGCACAGCCUUCCAAAUCACCUAGGCCCACUGUGGCAGUCUCAUUCCCCAGAACAUACUGUUAUAUCUCUAGCUGGUCAGCUGCUUGCCCCAAAUGGUACUGUGGCCUUAGGCUAGGUGCAGUGUUUACCUUCCGGAUUGCUUGCAUUUGUUUCCCUAACAAUAAAUUAUGUUGGGCAUCACAGGCUUAUUUUUCUCUGCUUAUUUGCAUGGGCUUCUCUGCAAUCCAUGCAAGUUGUUUGGUGAAGUACAGGUUCACCAAAACUAUUCCCCAAUUUUUUACUGGGUUGUUUUCUUAUUGUUGAGUUUUAAGUGUUCU
rnacentral:lncRNA from 1 species